UGUUCCUAUUAAUAUAAAGAUUGAAUCAAAUAAAAGUGAAGGAUAAGGAUGUUGAGAAGAAAGAGAUUACUUGAUUACAAUGGGAUUACUUCACUACAAGUCAUUGGUGGCGAUCGAAGGUGGACAGCAAGAUCGAAGCUCAGCAAGAUUGAAGAUUGUUCGAGGAAGAAGGAGUUCGCCGUUGACUAAAAGGUUUAUCUGAACAGCUAGUUGUCAAGAUGAACGUGAAGA
rnacentral:lncRNA from 1 species